AAUGCUUCUUUCAACAGCACAACAGUUGGUCAGCCACCUUGGUAGCUUGAUAGACAAAAUAGACGAACCAAUUAAGCUCUUUAGACGCUUUAGUGUAUAUUAGCCACUGUGUUUUAAACCCAUUUCUGUCGUCUAGUUAGUUAUCCGAUUUAAUUUCAUAUUUACGGUGUUGUUGUUAUUAGUCAGCUUGCGGGCUGGUUAAGUUAGCAUUAGCCUAGCUAGCUAACAUCUCCGACCAUGAGCUUACUGAGCUACUCUCCUAGAGAAGUGAAAGAAGAGUAGGAGGAAGAGAAGGUUGUUAAAAUACAAAAACAAAUAGAGGGUGAGGUGAAAGUAGAGGAAGACGCGAUCAGAGUGAAAGAGGAGGAUGUUACAGUAAAAGAAGAGGAAGAGAAAGAGGAGGAUGCAGUUUAUGGGGUGAAAGAGGAGGGGAGAUGACUGUCACAUCGAAAAAUGAGGAGGAAGAAGAGGAGGAAACUGGAUAUCUGGGCCCGGUUUCCCAAACGCAUCUUAAGGCAUCAAAUGGUUCUAAUGAUGAACGUGCCCUGGUUAACACUAGAGAGAUAUGUGACUAUCGUGGAGCCUCAACAACAACAACAACAACAAGAUGCUGACAAGGCAGAGAAGAGUCUCCAGAUCAGAACUCCUCAAGAAACACCAGCAGAAAGCCACAUGGAAUAAAUAUUACCACUGCUUCUCUGACUGUGAUAAAAGAUUCAACUAUUCAGUAGAACUUAAAAUACACCAGAGAACACACACAGGAGAUAAAUCAUAUAGCUGUAGUCAAUGUGGAAAGAGUUUUUCUACUUCUAUCUGUCUAACUAUACACCAUAGAGCACACACAGGAGAGAAUCUGUGCUGUGAUCAAUGUGGGAAGAGUUGUUUUACUUCUAGCUAUCUAACUAUACACCAGAGAACACACACAGGAGAAAUCUUAUAGCUGUGAUCAAUGUGGGAAGAGUUUUACUCGGCCAGACCGGCUGAAUAUACACAAGAGAACACACACAGGGGAAGAGAUACUCUGAUAAAAGAUCUCUGAUUAAACAUUAAAAAAAAUAAUUAAGGUGUUGUUUCAAGAUAUCAAUGAAUUAAGUCACAAUGUAGAAUGUUUUAACAUUGUAGAAGGAGUAUUUUAAAGAUGUCACAAUGUAGAACCCUAAACGUUUGUCCCCUGUUCUAUUGAUUUCAACAUGAUAUGGAUAUUAGCCUCAGGGGGAAAUCCGGGCUCUGAAAUGAAAUAGUCACUUUUUGUUGAAUCUCAUAAAUAGUACUAACAACGUUGGUGACCCACUUGAAACAAAAUGCAACUUUUCAAUGUUUAGGUUUUCAAUAUAUCCCAAACUGUUUCUGCAUAUUGGUUAUUGAUUUGGACACAUUAAAACUGUGUUUUGACAUUG